GAGUUUGAUCAUGGCUCAGAUUGAACGCUGGCGGCAGGCCUAACACAUGCAAGUCGAGCGGUAGAGAGAAGCUUGCUUCUCUUGAGAGCGGCGGACGGGUGAGUAAUGCCUAGGAAUCUGCCUGGUAGUGGGGGAUAACGUUCGGAAACGGACGCUAAUACCGCAUACGUCCUACGGGAGAAAGCAGGGGACCUUCGGGCCUUGCGCUAUCAGAUGAGCCUAGGUCGGAUUAGCUAGUUGGUGAGGUAAUGGCUCACCAAGGCGACGAUCCGUAACUGGUCUGAGAGGAUGAUCAGUCACACUGGAACUGAGACACGGUCCAGACUCCUACGGGAGGCAGCAGUGGGGAAUAUUGGACAAUGGGCGAAAGCCUGAUCCAGCCAUGCCGCGUGUGUGAAGAAGGUCUUCGGAUUGUAAAGCACUUUAAGUUGGGAGGAAGGGUUGUAG
rnacentral:rRNA from 1 species